rnacentral:rRNA from 1 species
UACAGAGGGGGCGAGCGUUAUUCGGAAUUAUUGGGCGUAAAGGGCGCGUAGGCGGCUUUUCAAGUGACGGGUGAAAUCCCUCGGCUUAACCGAGGAACUGCCUGUCAGACUGGAAGGCUUGAGACCGGGAGAGGUGAGUGGAAUUCCCAGUGUAGCGGUGAAAUGCGUAGAUAUUGGGAGGAACACCAGUGGCGAAGGCGGCUCACUGGCUCGGUACUGACGCUGAGGUGCGAAAGCGUGGGGAGCAAACAGG